ACCUGGUUGAUCCUGCCAGUAGUCAUACGCUUGUCUCAAAGAUUAACCCAUGCAUGUCUAAGUAUAAACAAUUUAGUACUGUGAAA